rnacentral:piRNA from 1 species
AAGACUUACAAUUUUGGGCUCCGU